UUAAUUGAAGAGUUUGAUCAUGGCUCAGAUUGAACGCUGGCGGCAGGCCUAACACAUGCAAGUCGAGCGGCAGCACAGAGGAACUUGUUCCUUGGGUGGCGAGCGGCGGACGGGUGAGUAAUGCCUAGGAAAUUGCCCUGAUGUGGGGGAUAACCAUUGGAAACGAUGGCUAAUACCGCAUGAUGCCUACGGGCCAAAGAGGGGGACCUUCGGGCCUCUCGCGUCAGGAUAUGCCUAGGUGGGAUUAGCUAGUUGGUGAGGUAAUGGCUCACCAAGGCGACGAUCCCUAGCUGGUCUGAGAGGAUGAUCAGCCACACUGGAACUGAGACACGGUCCAGACUCCUACGGGAGGCAGCAGUGGGG
rnacentral:rRNA from 1 species